CCCCUUCGACCUGCCCAAAGACGCUGCCAAGGAGGCGAGCGGCAGCUUGGAGGAGUGGGAGCGCCUGAUGAGGACGAUGGGUUCGGGGGUCUCUGCCACGGACAACCCCUUCACUGAAGUCAUGGGGCUCGUGACACGCAUGUACAAACAGACCGCCAUCGCUAAGGCCGGAGCAGUGAAAGACUACAUAAAGAUGCUGCUGGAGACUGAGAAGUUAAAGUUCCUGGUGUUCGCUCAUCACCUGACCAUGCUACAGGCAUGUACCGAGGCUGUCAUCGAAG